rnacentral:rRNA from 1 species
UACGUAGGGUGCGAGCGUUGUCCGGAAUUACUGGGCGUAAAGAGCUCGUAGGUGGUUGUCGCGUCGUCUGUGAAAUUCCGGGGCUUAACCUCGUGCGUGCAGGCGAUACGGGCAAUACUUGAGUGCUGUAGGGGAGACUGGAAUUCCUGGUGUAGCGGUGGAAUGCGCAGAUAUCAGGAGGAACACCGAUGGCGAAGGCAGGUCUCUGGGCAGUAACUGACGCUGAGGAGCGAAAGCAUGGGUAGCGAACAGGAUUA